UACGGAGGGUGCAAGCGUUAUCCGGAUUCACUGGGUUUAAAGGGUGCGUAGGUGGGCUGGUAAGUCAGUGGUGAAAUCUCCGGGCUUAACCCGGAAACUGCCAUUGAUACUAUCUGUCUUGAAUAUCGUGGAGGUCAGCGGAAUAUGUCAUGUAGCGGUGAAAUGCUUAGAUAUGACAUAGAACACCAAUUGCGAAGGCAGCUGGCUACACGAAGAUUGACGCUGAUGCACGAAAGCGUGGGGAUCAAACAGG
rnacentral:rRNA from 1 species